UUUUCCAGAUUUUCAAAGAUUUCGAAAAUACACUCUUACCCGUUUUCUUGAACCCUAAACCAAAACCCUAGCAAAACCAACUUUUUCAUCUCUCCUUCCAAUCCCCGACACUGCCGAACCCAAACCACCAUUCGAACACAGAAACCAAAGGAAGAGAGAAACAAUGGGAUACAAAGGAAAGAAGAGAGAAAGAGAAGGUUCCAACAACAAUGGCGGAGAAGAAGAAGAAGAACCAAAAACUUCAACUACAACUAUGAAGAAGAAGGAGCAAUUACUACCUUCAAUGAUUAAGAACAAACAAAAAAGGUCUGAAAUUCAUUCCAAACUUAAACGUGAAAAAAAACUUGAAAAGCGAAAGAAGCAUAAAGCUCGCGAUGCUGCUGAUAAACGCGCUAUUGAACUCGGCGAAGAGCUUCCGCCGAGGCCAGUUCCUAAGACUAUUGAGAAUACUAGAGAAGCUGAUGAGACUGUUUGCAAGCCUGAUGAUGAAGAGUUGUUUGCAGAGUUGGAAACUGAUGAAUUCAGUGCAGUUUUGAAAGGUGAACGGGUUCCGAAAGUGUUGAUCACCACUUGCCGCUUCAAUUCCACUAGAGGUCCUGAAUUUAUCAAAGAAUUACUUCAAGUGAUCCCAAAUUCGUCUUAUCGUAAGAGAGGGACGUAUGACUUGAAAAAGAUCAUUACCUAUGCAAAUAAAAAGGAUUUCACAUCUUUGAUUGUUGUGCAUACAAAUAGAAGAGAACCAGAUGCUCUCUUAAUUAUUGGCUUGCCUGAUGGACCAACUGCACAUUUUAAGCUUUCCAAACUUGUUCUGCGAAAGGACAUUAAGAACCAUGGUAACCCAACCACUCAUUGGCCUGAGCUAGUUCUAAAUAACUUCACAACGAGGCUUGGUUGUCGUAUUGGAAGAAUGAUUCAAUCUAUCUUUCCCCAAAAUCCAGAAUUUCGUGGUCGUCGGGUUGUUACUUUUCAUAAUCAACGAGAUUAUAUUUUCUUUCGCCAUCAUAGGUAUGUCUUUGAAAAAAAAGAAAGCAAGAAUACAGACUCAAAAGACAAGAAAGUUACGGCUCCAGAAAAAGUCAUUGCCCGUCUUCAGGAAUGUGGCCCUCGGUUUGUAUUGAAAUUGAUUACUCUCCAGCAUGGAACAUUUGAUUCUAAAGGUGGUGAAUUUGAAUGGGCACAUAAGCCGGAAAUGGACACCAGUCGGAGAAGAUUUUUCUUGUGAUUCAGUAGGCAAAUUGUUUACCCAUGGGGUAAUUGUAAAGUCACAAAUAUUGACCAUUAUAUGACAGAGGGAACGUGGUGUUUAUCCUGUGCCCCUUUGCCAUGAUAACAAGGAUGACGGGUAAGAAAAUCGGACCUGAUGGUAGAAAGUAUCUCCGUAGGUGCUUGAGUCGAGUCAGCAGAGUUGGCUUU